rnacentral:rRNA from 1 species
CCUACGGGAGACAGCCGUGAGGAAUAUUGGUCAAUGGACGAGAGUCUGAACCAGCCAAGUAGCGUGAAGGAUGACUGCCCUAUGGGUUGUAAACUUCUUUUAUCUGGGAAUAAACUGUUCCACGUGUGGGAUUUUGUAUGUACCAUAUGAAUAAGUAUCGGCUAACUCCGUGCCAGCAGCCGCGGUAAUACGGAGGAUCCGAGCGUUAUCCGGAUUUAUUUGGUUUAAAGGGUGCGUAGGUGGAUUGUUAAGUCAGUUGUGAAAGUUUGCGGCUCAACCGUAAAAUUGCAGUUGAAACUGGCAGUAUUGAGUACAGUAGAGGUGGGCGGAAUUCGUGGUGUAGCGGUGAAAUGCUUAGAUAUCACGAAGAACUCCGAUUGCGAAGGCAGUUCACUGGACUGCAACUGACACUGAGGCUCGAAAGUGUGGGUAUCAAACAGGAUUAGAUACCCCGGUAGUC